GAUGAACGCUGGCGGCGUGCCUAAUACAUGCAAGUCGAGCGAACAGACGAGGAGCUUGCUCCUUUGACGUUAGCGGAGGACGGGUGAGUCACACGUGGAUAACCUACCUAUCUUACUGGGAUCAUUUCGGGAAACCGGAGCUAAUACCGGAUAAUAUACUGAACCGCAUGGUUCAAUGGUGAAAGUCGGUUUUGCUGUCACUUAUAGCUGGUUCCGCGCCGCAUUGGCUAGUUGGUAAGGUAACGGCUUACCAAGGCUACGAUGCGUAGCCGACCUGCGAGGGUGAUAGGCCGCACUAGAACUGAGACGCGGUCCAGACGCCUACGGGACGCAGCAGUAGCGUAUCUUCCGCAAUGGGCGGGAACUUGACGGAGCAACGCCGCGUGAGUGAUGAAAGCCUUGGGAUCGUAAAGCUCUGUUAUUAGUGGAGAACAAAUGUGUAAGUAACUAUGCACGUCGUGACGGUAACUAGUCAAGAAGCCACGGCUAACUACGUG
rnacentral:rRNA from 1 species